AGGGGAUUCGUAUAUCGGUAGUACACCGGUCUCCAAAACCGUUAGGGCGGGUUCGAUUCCUGCAUCCCCUGCCA
rnacentral:tRNA from 2 species